rnacentral:lncRNA from 1 species
UGGUGAUUGUAUAAUCGUUGGCGAUGAACCGGGUUUAGCUGCAGAUGAAUGGCUACUUGCAGGUGAAGAAACAGACGGUGAUGUUGUGGUUAUUGAUGGGAUUAACCGGAAGACAAUCUAGUUGUCGGUGGUUUCGAAGGAGAUACUGCAUAGAUACCAUUAAUCGAAUAUCAUUUCAACAAAUUUAAAUUUAAUCAUUAACAAAAAAAAACAAUAUCUCUUAUUCCACAAGAGCAGUUUACUAGUGAAAAACUUGUUAGUCGUAAUAGUUAAGAAUCAUUCAAUUUUUUUUUAAAGUAAACGAACCAUAAUCAUUAGAUAAGGAAAGAAAAAAUAAGAUACCACAAUGAGGAUCGAUGGGGAUGUUACAAGUAGAAGGUAUUGGAAGAGCUC